CGCGGGCUUCGGCCUGGCGGCGAGUGGCGAACGGGUGAGUAAUAUAUCGGAACGUACCCAAGAGUGGGGGAUAACGUAGCGAAAGUUACGCUAAUACCGCAUACGAUCUAAGGAUGAAAGCAGGGGACCGCAAGGCCUUGUGCUCCUGGAGCGGCCGAUAUCUGAUUAGCUAGUUGGUGAGGUAAAGGCUCACCAAGGCAACGAUCAGUAGCUGGUCUGAGAGGACGACCAGCCACACUGGAACUGAGACACGGUCCAGACU
rnacentral:rRNA from 1 species